UGCCCUUGGGAAGCUCACAGUCUCCCCUGAGAUUCUCACACUUCAGCUGCAUCAGAAUUACCUGGAGGGUGGGGCCCCACCUCCAGAGUUUCUGAUUCAGCAGGUCAGGGGCGGGGCCUGAGAACCUUCAUGUCGAACAAGUUCCCAGGUGACGCUGAUGCUGCUUGUCUGGGGACCACACUUUGAGAACCACACGUCUAAGAUGGGGUCCCAAACUUUGGAUGCCUGAGGGUCCUCUGGGCCAAGUUUCUGGAGAUUGUGAUUUUCACUCACCUGAGAUCAUCUCAUCUAACACUCUUAUUUGAGAGCUGAAGAAACCAGGAUCCUAAAAGUUAUUGGUGUCUUCCAGCGAGUCUUCAGGCUGCAAUGUGCUCUGAGGGAGAAUCAGCUUCCCGAGAAGGGGCGUCAGCAGGACCAAGCUGGCCGCAUGUCAACAAGAAAUUCCAGGUGCGAUCAUCCUGCAGGUGACUUCUCCCCUGAGGAAAUAGUCACCACUGAACCCCGUGCUUCUCUGUCAGGAGAGGCUGCAGACGUAGGUGCACAAAGGGAAGAGUGGAGGCAACGUUCUAGAACAUUUAUAAGUAAAGACACUUGUCAGUUUCCCAAAUCAAAAACCGAGGGCCACUCUCAACUCUCCCUACAGGAACGGAAGCGAUCGCAUGCACAAAAACACAGCCAAAAAUGAUUGUGAGCUAUGAGCUAGCUCCUGCUGCCUUGAUUCUGCUGUUGGCUUUAAGAUGGAGGAAGGAAGGAACCGUGGAACGCAGGCAGCCGCUGGAAAGCUGGAGAGACAAGGAAACAGAUUGUCCCCAGAACUUCCAGAAAGAACCAGCCCUGCUGAGACCUCAUUUUUGGUGCUAUCCAAGUUUCCCAGUGGAACUUGGAAUUUAAUAAAGGGGAAAAAUGACAGAUGAGACUUAAAAGUGGAAUGUUCUAAAUUUCUAAAAGGAGACUAUCAAAAAGGAAAAAUGUUCAAGUAGCAUCCAAAAGGAAGCAAAGAGAAACAAAUGGAAGCAAAAAUGUAAAGUGGGAUCUUGCAAUAGACAUGUGUGGUCAAGAAUAGAGGGGCCCAAACGAGCAUACAAUCCAUUGGUGACUCUUGUCCCCCAGAGAAGGAUGGAUGGAUGGAGUUACAAGAUAAAGGAAGGUUGAGUAUUUCCCGUAAACAUUAGAAAGUCCUAAGGAAGGAUGCACACUUCACAAACCCAGUGGUUUGAUUUUCCUGUUCUGAUCCUUGGUCUUCUCUUCGAUGUCUUUUCUCAAAGCUCCAUCAUAUUAGAAAGAAGAAAUGGCUCUUGGAAUUCUGCACUUCCUUUCUCAUUCUUCCCAAAUGGCAACCCCAGUAAUGUAGACUGCAGAGUCUUGGAGCACAAACCACUUUUUCUUCCACAGCAUGGCCUUGUGGUAUUUUGUGUCCUGUUCAUUUUUCACCUGACUCCAAAUACAUAUAUGGUCCUUACCGUUGAAAGAGACAGUGUUUCAGAUCUUACGCAUGUAUACAUUUGUGAAAAAUGCAGACUGUGUUGCCUUUACACCCAAUGUUAAAGAACCUGUAUGGACUUGUCGAGUGACUUUGGGGAUUUUUAUUCAGGAGUCAUCCUCUCUAAACUUGCUUAAAAGUUGUGAAAUGUGUCUUGAUACUGGUAAUCAGCCUGUGCCUUUGAGCUGACAAAUGGCCUCAAUACAAAGAUGUUUCCAAACACUUGAGUGUAGACGGGUCCCCCGAUGCCUCCCGCCACUCAUUAGAGCUUUUAUUUGCAGUUGUUUUUCAAUCACUUAUCAGUUGUGUUAAUUACGCUCUCUUAAUUUGUUAAAGUUUCGUAUUUGCUGUCGUGUAUAAUCAUAACAUUGUAAUAAAAGCCAAUAAUUUGUAGGUGAUGGCAGAUGGUAGGGCUCCAAAUGGGUGCCAGAGAGAGAGAAAUGAAUUUAUA